GCUGUUAGGAGACUAUGUCUUUUAGUGGCGCAGCUAACGUUUUAAGUUGUCCGCCUGGGGAGUACGGCCGCAAGGCUAAAACUCAAAUGAAUUGACGGGGACCCGCACAAGCAGUGGAUCAUGUGGUUUAAUUCGAUGCAACGCGAAAAACCUUACCUACUCUUGACAUACUUGGAAGCUCUUGUAAUGAGAGUGUGCUUUUAAGAACCAAGAUACAGGUGCUGCAUGGCUGUCGUCAGCUCGUGUCGUGAGAUGUUCCGUUAAGUCGGAUAACGAGCGCAACCCUUACCCUUAUUUGCCAGCGAUUCGGUCGGGAACUAUAAGGGGACUGCCGGUGACAAACCGGAGGAAGGUGAGGACGACGUCAAGUCAUCAUGGCCCUUACGAGUAGGGCUACACACGUGAUACAAUGGGAGAGACAGACGGACGCUAAGCCGCGAGGUGGUGCUAAUCCUAGAAACUCUCUCGUAGUCCGGAUUGGAGUCUGCAACUCGACUCCAUGAAGUUGGAAUUGCUAGUAAUCGCGGAUCAGCAUGCCGCGGUGAAUACGUUCUCGGGUCUUGUGCACACCGCCCGUCACACCAUGGAAGUGGAUUGCACCAGAAGUAGAUAGUCUAACCUUAGGGAGGGCGUUUACCACGGUGUGCUUCAUGACUGGGGUG
rnacentral:rRNA from 1 species